GAUGAACGCUGGCGGCGUGCCUAAUACAUGCAAGUCGAGCGAAUGGAUUAAGAGCUUGCUCUUAUGAAGUUAGCGGCGGACGGGUGAGUAACACGUGGGUAACCUGCCCAUAAGACUGGGAUAACUCCGGGAAACCGGGGCUACUACCGGAUCACAUUUUGAACCGCAUGGGUCGAAAUUGUAAGGCGGCUUCGGCUGUCACUUAUGGAUGGACCCGCGUCGCAUUAGCCAGUUGGUGAGGUAACGGCUAACCAAGGCGAGGAUGCGUGGCCGACCUGGGAGGGUGAUCGGCCAAACUGGGAAUGAGACACGGCCCAGACUCCUACGGGAGGCAGCAGUAGGGAAUCUUCCGAAAUGGACGAAAGGCUGACGGAGCAACGCCGCGUGAGUGAUGAAGGCUUUCGGGUCGUAAAACUCUGUUGUUAGGGAAGAACAAGUGCUAGUUGAAUAAGCUGGCACCUUGACGGUACCUAACCAGAAAGCCACGGCUAACUACGUGCCAGCCGCCGCCGUAA
rnacentral:rRNA from 1 species